rnacentral:rRNA from 1 species
CUUUACUACAUAGGAUACCUGUGGUAAUUCUAGAGCUUAAUACAUGCUAAAAACCUCGACUUCGGAAGGGGUGUAUUUAUUAGAUAAAAAACCAACGCCCUUCGGGGCUCCUUGGUGAAUCAUAAUAACUAAGCGAAUCGCAUGGCCUUGCGCCGGCGAUGGUUCAUUCAAAUUUCUGCCCUAUCAACUUUCGAUGGUAGGAUAGUGGCCUACCAUGGUGGCAACGGGUAACGGGGAAUUAGGGUUCGAUUCCGGAGAGGGAGCCUGAGAAACGGCUACCACAUCCAAGGAAGGCAGCAGGCGCGCAAAUUACCCAAUCCCGACACGGGGAGGUAGUGACAAUAAAUACUGAUACGGGGCUCUUUUGGGUCUCGUAAUUGGAAUGAGUACAAUCUAAAUCCCUUAACGAGGAACAAUUGGAGGGCAAGUCUGGUGCCAGCAGCCGCGGUAAUUCCAGCUCCAAUAGCGUAUAUUAAAGUUGUUGCAGUUAAAAAGCUCGUAGUUGAACCUUGGGUCUGGCUGGCCGGUCCGCCUCACCGCGAGUACUGGUCCGGCUGGACCUUUCCUUCUGGGGAACCUCAUGGCCUUCACUGGCUGUGGGGGGAACCAGGACUUUUACUGUGAAAAAAUUAGAGUGUUCAAAGCAGGCCUUUGCUCGAAUACAUUAGCAUGGAAUAAUAGAAUAGGACGUGCGGUUCUAUUUUGUUGGUUUCUAGGACCGCCGUAAUGAUUAAUAGGGAUAGUCGGGGGCGUCAGUAUUCAGCUGUCAGAGGUGAAAUUCUUGGAUUUGCUGAAGACUAACUACUGCGAAAGCAUUCGCCAAGGAUGUUUUCAUUAAUCAGGGAACGAAAGUUUAGGGGA